rnacentral:lncRNA from 10 species
CUCUCGCCCACGAAGUUAUCCUUAAAAACUCUGAUCCACGAAUGCUCAGGGAGACUGAUUUGAGUAAUAAUAAAGCUCCAGCCUCCCACAUAGCCAGGUCUGUGUGAAUUACCCUUUCUCUACUGGAAUUCCCCUGUUUUGAUAAAUCAGCUCUGUCUAGGUAGCGGGCAAAGUGGACCCUUUGGGCAGUUACACUAUCCUUAGAGAUGGCGGCUCGAGAUGCUUCUCCAUUGGCUGGCAUCUGGUAACCUGGAUUUUGGGAGUCUGGAAUUUUGCUGCGCGCCGGGCAGAGGGUUCCUAUGUAACUGGCUUCCAUGUGCUUGAAUGUUGCCUUUUCCAAAACCACCCAUGGCCUGCCCCACCCCAUAUCCUGUGCCAUAAAAACCCCAGGUUCCACCUGCAGAGAGUGGAGGAGAAGAGGAUAAGCAGCUGGACGUUGGAGACUACAAUUUGAUGAUGGAGAGAAGCAGCUUGACUUCAGAGGGAUUGCCUGACGGCAUUGCUUCUGAACGGAGUCUGGGGGAGGAACACCUUCCCACUCCAUCCCCUUUCCAGCUCUCCUUCCUGAGAGCCACUUUCAUCAACAAUAAAUCCUCCCCAUUCACCACCCUUCAGUUCAUUCAUGCGACCUGAUUUUUCCUGGACACUGAAUAAGAGCUUGGCUGCCACGGAUGUGAAUGCUAAAGGCUGUCACAGUGACUCUCUGGCCUUGCUGGUGGAGAGCAACCACUUCAUGUGAAAAGGCAGAGGGCCCACUGAACUGUUUAACACUUAAGCCAUCCAUGGACAGCAAGGCCAAAAGAGAGCACUGUAACACACGCCCUCCAGGGCUUCGAGGGUGGUGGGUAUCCCCCUAGAUACUGCCGCAGGCCCUGCAUGGAGUUUUGUUCCUGCUGGUGCCCAAAGGCACUCACCCCACCUCCUGCGCCCACUCACCUGCAUGCUGCCUCUCAUAAGGGGUUGAAGCAAUGGGUUUGAGUAAGUGAAGUUUGUCCCUGCUGUCACCGAAGUGACCAGCUAGCUCCAGCACCCACACUCCAGUUCCCGUCCAUGAAGGAGUCAGGAAAAAUGUCUGCUUCACUUGCUGAAUUGCUGCUUUCCUUCUAGGAGUCUGGAAUUUUGCUGCAUGCCGGGCAGAGGGGUCCUAUGUAACUGGCUUCCAAUACAAGCCCUGGGCAUUGAAUUUCCAAUGGAACUAGCGUAGAUAAUAUUUCAAGUGUGUAGUCAUGAUUUGAGGCUGGGGGAACGAAGAGUGUCUUGAGUGUCUUGUAGUCACAAUUUGAGGCUGGAGGAAUUAAAAGUGUUUACUACAAAGAGAGAAGACUCUUCAAAAUUUUAGCCUGGUUUUCUCUGGACUUCACCACAUGGGCCGUUUCCUCUUGCUGAUUUUGCUUGUAUCCAUAAUAAAUCAUAGCUGGAGGUAAAACUUAUAUGCUGAGUCCUGUGAUGCCUCCUAGAAAAUCACCAAACCUAAGAGUAGACCUCCAAUGCAAUAUCCUUAUUGCGGGAAGCCUGGGAGAUGUAGGUUAUUUGUUUGUUUUUCUAUUCCGUAUUGCAGAGUUGGGUUUAAAUAUGGAGUACUAUCAAUACAUAUAGUGAAUGUGUGGCUCACAUUGAUAUAGGUCAUAAAAUCUGAUUCCCUUUUGUUCCGGGUAUUCAUUUAGACUGCAUUUUCCAUCCUCCAAUGUAGUACGGUGGGCCUUGUGACUGGGGUCUGAUGAAUGAAGUUGGGGUGAGGAGUCAUGCCUAUUACUCCCAGGUUUGGACCAUAAUAUCCUCCCAUGUGAUCAAUCUGUGCUCCAGCUGUGCUCUUACCCAUGCACUGGCCAGAUGUGUAAGUUCUAGCUGAGGUCUGCCAGGAUACAGGAUGGUGGAGCCAUGUGAUGGAAGGAGCUUGGGCCUCUGAGUGACUAUGCAGAGCAGAGUGAUGGUUGCAUCUCCCUUUCUAACCCACAGCAAAUUAGAUGCUAUCUUAACCUUUUGGAUUAAGCCCCUGGGAUCUGAGGAUUUGUCUAUUCCUGUAUUUCACGUUUUCCUAACUAAUUCAGAAAAGUCCUGGGUAAUAGAUAGAUACUCCCUAAGUGAACAAUACAAACUCCAUUUCAUUAAAACUUCAUUCCCUGAAGAAACAGGAAAACUCCAUAAGCCUUAAAAAAACAAUUUCCAUCACUUCUAAAUUCAGUCUAUUAUACUUCAAAACAAUGUACAGUGUGCGGUCUUUAUAAUGACACUGUGACAUUUGUGGUGAUGUUAAUAUUUCUGAAUUGGGAUUCACUAAAAAACAAACAAACAAAAAAAUAGGUUCCAGAAUGUAAUUGGUUAAAUAGUAAACAAUGUUUCUAACCAAAUUUUCUUCAAAAGCAUUGUAAAAAUCUAUAAAGUACACCAAACUUCAUUUAUUACUUGCUUUAUUACAUAUUGAAAUGUUUGCAUAUUUA